UCAACUAGUAUGCAAGAGCUGG
rnacentral:misc_RNA from 1 species